rnacentral:rRNA from 1 species
CAAGUCGAGCGAGAAGGGGAGCAAUCCCUGAGUAAAGCGGCGUACGGGUGAGUAACACGUGGGUAAUCUACCUUUUAGUGUGGAAUAACCCUGGGAAACCGGGGCUAAUACCGCAUAAUCCUGUGAAGGGAAAGCAGCAAUGCGCUGAAAGAGGAGCCCGCGGCCGAUUAGCUAGUUGGUGAGGUAACGGCCCACCAAGGCGAUGAUCGGUAGCCGGCCNGGAGAGGGCACACGGCCACACUGGCACUGAAACACGGGCCAGACUCCUACGGGAGGCAGCAGUGGGGAAUCUUGCACAAUGGAGGCAACUCUGAUGCAGCGACGCCGCGUGAGCGAUGAAGCCCUUCGGGGUGUAAAGCUCUUUCGGCAGGGACGAUAAUGACGGUACCUGAAGAAGAAGCUGCGGCUAACUACGUGCCAGCAGCCGCGGUAAUACGUAGGCAGCGAGCGUUGUUCGGAAUUACUGGGCGUAAAGAGUGUGUAGGCGGUGCUCUAAGUUCGGUGUGAAAUCUCCCGGCUUAACUGGGAGGGUGCGCCGGAAACUGGAGUGCUUGAGCGUGGGAGAGGAAAGCGGAAUUCCUGGUGUAGCGGUGAAAUGCGUAGAUAUCAGGGGGAACACCUGCGGUGUAGACGGCUUUCUGGACCAUUGCUGACGCUGA